GCAAUUCUAAACCAGUGGAGGACACAAAACCACUAAGAGAGGGAGCUUCAGAAACAGGAGACUUGCCAGGCAAGAAGCACACACUGCUCAGGCACAGGUCUGCCAGGACCUCUCCUAUUGCCACAAAGCUUCCUGAAAAGCUGAGGAAGAAACUAACAAUCUUUCUGAAAAAUUACCAGAAGUAAUUUUCUCUUAUAAUAAAUCAAGUCUAUGAUACUGGAAGAAAUUUUGCUUACAAAGAGAGCUCAUGCUUAAAAAGGUAACCUCAGUUUCACUGAAUACAAGCAUUUGAUGGGACAUGGAUCCCCUAUAUAAAGAUAUCACAGCUGAUAGUAAUGUUUUGGACCAUGAACAGUCUGGAACAGGACAGCAUUUACAGGUGUGGAAAUGACCUUGUGAAAAAAACCUGCAAAAA